rnacentral:rRNA from 1 species
GGACAAUCUGACCUGUAGAGGAGGAUAAUCCCGGGAAACUGGGUGUAAUACUCCAUAUUCCAGGGGUACUGGAAUGUCUUUUGGAUGAAAGAUUAAUCGCUACAGGAUGAGUCUGCGACCGAUUAGGUAGUUGUUGGGGUAACGGCCCAACAAGCCUGUAAUCGGUACGGGUUGUGGGAGCAAGAGCCCGGAGAUGGAUUCUGAGACACGAAUCCAGGCCCUACGGGGCGCAGCAGGCGCGAAAACUUUACCAUGCGGGCAACCGUGAUAAGGAAACCCCGAGUGCCAGCACAGGCUGGCUGUCCACCAGUGUAAACAGCUGGUGAAGAAAGGGCCGGGCAAGACCGGUGCCAGCCGCCGCGGUAAUACCGGCGGCUCGAGUGGUGGCCGCUAUUACUGGGCUUAAAGGGUCCGUAGCUUGAUUUACAAGUCCCUUGAGAAAUCCGCCGGCUUAACUGGCGGGCGUUCAGGGGAAACUGUAAUUCUAGGGACCGGGAGAGGUGAGAGGUACUGCCGGGGUAGGAGUGAAAUCCUGUAAUCCCGGUGGGACCACCAAUGGCGAAGGCAUCUCACCAGAACGGGUCCGACAGUGAGGGACGAAAGCUGGGGGAGCAAACCGGAUUAGAUACCCGGGUAGUCCCAGCUGUAAACGAUGUGCGUUAGGUGUGUCAGUGACCACGUGUCACUGAGGUGCCGAAGGGAAACCGUGAAACGCACCGCCUGGGGAGUACGGUCGCAAGGCUGAAACUUAA